CAACGUUCGAAAGGAGGUGAUCUCGUGUCUCAUUGUCGUUCGCCGCGCGCGUCGCUCAUGCAGGUCCGGAUCUCUGCCUCUGUCGGAGUUUCCGCCGCGUAAGUGAUGGUUCCGGGCUCCGCCCGGACGCGGUAAGACAAUGGAAGGGCCGCCACGCAGGCGGCCCU
rnacentral:sRNA from 1 species